GAUGAACGCUAGCGACAGGCUUAACACAUGCAAGUCGAGGGGCAGCGGGUAGAUGAGCUUGCUCAUUUAUGCCGGCGACCGGCGCACGGGUGAGUAACACGUAUGCAACCUGCCCGUCUCAGGGGGAUAAUCGUCGGAAACGGCGUCUAAUACCCCGUAUGAAGCUGGACGGCAUCGUCUGGUUUUGAAAGAAUAUCGGAGACGGAUGGGCAUGCGGCGCAUUAGCUGGUUGGCGGGGUAACGGCCCACCAAGGCGACGAUGCGUAGGGGUUCUGAGAGGAAGGUCCCCCACACUGGAACUGAGACACGGUCCAG
rnacentral:rRNA from 1 species